rnacentral:rRNA from 1 species
GGACCCGGAAAGUUUUAACGGCGUCGAGCGGCGGACGGGUGAGUAAUGCCUAGGAAAUUGCCCUGAUGUGGGGGAUAACCAUUGGAAACGAUGGCUAAUACCGCAUGAUGCCUACGGGCCAAAGAGGGGGACCUUCGGGCCUCUCGCGUCAGGAUAUGCCUAGGUGGGAUUAGCUAGUUGGUGAGGUAAGGGCUCACCAAGGCGACGAUCCCUAGCUGGUCUGAGAGGAUGAUCAGCCACACUGGAACUGAGACACGGUCCAGACUCCUACGGGAGGCAGCAGUGGGGAAUAUUGCACAAUGGGCGCAAGCCUGAUGCAGCCAUGCCGCGUGUGUGAAGAAGGCCUUCGGGUUGUAAAGCACUUUCAGUCGUGAGGAAGGCGGUGUAGUUAAUAGCUGCAUCAUUUGACGUUAGCGACAGAAGAAGCACCGGCUAACUCCGUGCCAGCAGCCGCGGUAAUACGGAGGGUGCGAGCGUUAAUCGGAAUUACUGGGCGUAAAGCGCAUGCAGGUGGUUUGUUAAGUCAGAUGUGAAAGCCCGGGGCUCAACCUCGGAAUUGCAUUUGAAACUGGCAGACUAGAGUACUGUAGAGGGGGGUAGAAUUUCAGGUGUAGCGGUGAAAUGCGUAGAGAUCUGAAGGAAUACCGGUGGCGAAGGCGGCCCCCUGGACAGAUACUGACACUCAGAUGCGAAAGCGUGGGGAGCAAACAAGAUUAGAUACCCUGGUAGUCCACGCCGUAAACGAUGUCUACUUGGAGGUUGUGGCCUUGAGCCGUCGCUUUCGUAGCUAACGCGUUAAGUAGACCGCCUGGGGAGUACGGUCGCAAGAUUAAAACUCAAAUGAAUUGACGGGGGCCCGCACAAGCGGUGGAGCAUGUGGUUUAAUUCGAUGCAACGCCAAGAACCUUACCUACUCUUGACAUCCAAAGAACUUUCCAGAGAUGGAUUGGUGCCUUCGGGAACUCUGAGACAGGUGCUGCAUGGCUGUCGUCAGCUCGUGUUGUGAAAUGUUGGGUUAAGACU